rnacentral:rRNA from 1 species
UAGUCUGUACGUCGUCCCAAACUCACUGCAGUCUUCCGUUUUCUUAAUUGAAUGCGGUAGUUUCUGCAGUCACUCCCUUGAUCAAAUUAGGUUGUUCAAGGUAGACCAAGUCUUCAUAUUUUCACAUGGAAUUGGGUGAGGGAACUUAAGAGUUUAAGUUUCUCGUCUUAGGAUCAUCCGGGGUCAUUCGUACUCGUCCGCGAGAGGUGAAAUUCUUGGACCGGACGAAGACGACCAGCAGCGAAAGCAUCUGUCAGGGAUGUUUUCUGCGACAAAGGACGAAGGUCAGGGUAUCGAAGACGAUUAGAUACCGUCGUAGUCCUGACUGUAAACUAUGCCAACUUGGGUCUUGCUGGGCGAUGCUUUGUGAGACCCACACAGAAAUGAAAGUGUAUGGGUUCUGGGGGUAGUAUGGACACAAGUCUGAAACUUGAAGGAAUUGACGGAAGAGCACCAUAAGACGUGGAGCUUGCGGCUUAAUUUGACUCAACGCGGGAAAACUUACCAGGUCAAGACAUGGGCGUGAUUGACAGGCUAAUGACUUUUCUCGAUUCCAUGGAUGGUGGUGCAUGGUCGCACUUAGUUGGUGCAGUGAUUUGUCAGGUUUAUUCCGGUAACGAACGAGACCUCAGCCUUGUAAAUAGCUAUGCUGCUUACAGGGACAUUGGCGGCUACGCCAAGGAAGCUCGAGGCAAUUGCAGAUCUGGAAUGCCCUUAGAUGUCCUGGGUCGCACGCGUGCUACAAUGACGCCACGAACGAGCUUGCAUGAUGAAAGUUAUGCAUAAUCAGCAGUCGGCGUCUUAAGGGAUAGUCUCUUGUAACUGUGGGACUCCAACUAGGAAUGUCUCGUAAGCACAAGUCAACAUCUUGUGUUGAUUACGUCCCUGCUCUUUGUACACACCGCCCGUCGCUCCUACCGAUCGAGUGUUUAGGUGAAUUUGAUGGACGUAAGGAAGUCAAAUAAACCUGAGCACUUAGAGGAAGGAGAAGUCGUAACAAGGUUUCCGUAGGUGAACCUGCGGAAG